AACGGCAGCAUGAUCUAGCUUGCUAGAUUGAUGGCGAGUGGCGAACGGGUGAGUAAUACAUCGGAACGUGCCCUGUAGUGGGGGAUAACUAGUCGAAAGAUUAGCUAAUACCGCAUACGACCUGAGGGUGAAGGUGGGGGACCGCAAGGCCUCAUGCUAUAGGAGCGGCCGAUGUCUGAUUAGCUAGUUGGUGAGGUAAAGGCUCACCAAGGCGACGAUCAGUAGCUGGUCUGAGAGGACGAUCAGCCACACUGGGACUGAGACACGGCCCAGACUCCUACGGGAGGCAGCAGUGGGGAAUUUUGGACAAUGGGGGCAACCCUGAUCCAGCAAUGCCGCGUGUGUGAAGAAGGCCUUCGGGUUGUAAAGCACUUUUGUCCGGAAAGAAAUCGCACUUACUAAUAUUAGGUGUGGAUGACGGUACCGGAAGAAUAAGGACCGGCUAACUACGUGCCAGCAGCCGCGGUAAUACGUAGGGUCCAAGCGUUAAUCGGAAUUACUGGGCGUAAAGCGUGCGCAGGCGGUUGUGCAAGACCGAUGUGAAAUCCCCGGGCUUAACCUGGGAAUUGCAUUGGUGACUGCACGGCUAGAGUGUGUCAGAGGGGGGUAGAAUUCCACGUGUAGCAGUGAAAUGCGUAGAGAUGUGGAGGAAUACCGAUGGCGAAGCAGCCCCCUGGGAUACACUGACGCUCAUGCACGAAAGCGNNNGGGGAGCAAACAGGAUUAGAUACCNUGGUAGUCNACGCCUAAACGAUGUCAACUAGUUGUUGGGGAUUCAUUUCCUUAGUAACGUAGCUAACGCGUGAAGUUGACCGCCUGGGGAGUACGGUCGCAAGAUUAAAACUCAAAGGAAUUGACGGGGACCCGCACAAGCGGUGGAUGAUGUGGAUUAAUUCGAUGCAACGCGAAAAACCUUACCUACCCUUGACAUGCCACUAACGAAGCAGAGAUGCAUUAGGUGCUCGAAAGAGAAAGUGGACACAGGUGCUGCAUGGCUGUCGUCAGCUCGUGUCGUGAGAUGUUGGGUUAAGUCCCGCAACGAGCGCAACCCUUGUCUCUAGUUGCUACGAAAGGGCACUCUAGAGAGACUGCCGGUGACAAACCGGAGGAAGGUGGGGAUGACGUCAAGUCCUCAUGGCCCUUAUGGGUAGGGCUUCACACGUCAUACAAUGGUGCAUACAGAGGGUUGCCAAGCCGCGAGGUGGAGCUAAUCCCAGAAAAUGCAUCGUAGUCCGGAUCGUAGUCUGCAACUCGACUACGUGAAGCUGGAAUCGCUAGUAAUCGCGGAUCAGCAUGCCGCGGUGAAUACGUUCCCGGGUCUUGUACACACCGCCCGUCACACCAUGGGAGUGGGUUUUGCCAGAAGUAGUUAGCCUAACCGCAAGGGGGGCGAUUACCACGGCAGGGUUCAUGACUGGGGUGAAGUCGUAAC
rnacentral:rRNA from 1 species